ACUCCGUUGGUGAACCAGCCGAGGGAUCAUUACAGAGUUGCAAAACUCCCAAACCAUUGUGAACGUUACCUAUCCCGUUGCUUCGGCGGGCGGCCCGGGCCCCGCGCCCGGCGCCCCCCGGCCCCCCGUGGGCGCCCGCCGGAGGUAAACCAAACCCUUGAAUUGCAUGGCCUCUCUGAGUCUUCUGUACUGAAUAAGUCAAAACUUUCAACAACGGAUCUCUUGGUUCUG
rnacentral:misc_RNA from 1 species